AGUGGCGAACGGGUGAGUAACACGUGGGUGAUCUGCCCUGCACUUCGGGAUAAGCCUGGGAAACUGGGUCUAAUACCGGAUAUGACCUCGGGAUGCAUGUCCCGGGGUGGAAAGCUUUUGCGGUGUGGGAUGGGCCCGCGGCCUAUCAGCUUGUUGGUGGGGUUAAGGCCUACCAAGGCGACGACGGGUAGCCGGCCUGAGAGGGUGUCCGGCCACACUGGGACUGAGAUACGGCCCAGACUCCUACGGGAGGCAGCAGUGGGGAAUAUUGCACAAUGGGCGCAAGCCUGAUGCAGCGACGCCGCGUGGGGGAUGACGGCCUUCGGGUUGUAAACCUCUUUCAGUAGGGACGAAGCGCAAGUGACGGUACCUACAGAAGAAGGACCGGCCAACUACGUGCCAGCAGCCGCGGUAAUACGUAGGGUCCGAGCGUUGUCCGGAAUUACUGGGCGUAAAGAGCUCGUAGGUGGUUUGUCGCGUUGUUCGUGAAAUCUCACAACUCAAUUGUGAGCGUGCGAGCGAUACGGGCAGACUGGAGUACUGCAGGGGAGACUGGAAUUCCUGGUGUAGCGGUGGAAUGCGCAGAUAUCAGGAGGAACACCGGUGGCGAAGGCGGGUCUCUGGGCAGUAACUGACGCUGAGGAGCGAAAGCGUGGGGAGCGAACAGGAUUAGAUACCCUGGUAGUCCACGCCGUAAACGGUGGGUACUAGG
rnacentral:rRNA from 1 species